GGGGGCGUUCCGGAUUCGACGGGGAACAUGGCGGUUCUCGGGUCGCGUGUGCGAGUUUCCGCUCGUUUCAAACGGAACCCUAUAAUUGCCAACGAUAACUUGGCUCUGGCUGCUUAAUUAAGCCGCCCGUUCACCCGCGAGCGUGAUCCGUCGCGCGCGACGUGAGCGUCAUUGAUACGGAUUGAACGGCUCAGUUGGCCUCGAGCUGAGCCCGGAUACAUUUCGAGGCUGGUCGCCUGCGAUCGGUCGCCUUUGUCCACACCGCAGUCGACGAGAACCCCGAAUCAAAGGCUACGCACGUAGACACUCGAGGGACGCGUUCUUCGGACGCGGGUUCGACUCCCGCCGCCUCCACCA
rnacentral:tmRNA from 1 species